ACGAACGCGGGAGGAGGGAGGACCACAUGCAAGUCGAACGGAAAGGCCCUGAUUUUGUGGGGUGCUCGAGUGGCGCACGGGUGAGUAACACGUGAGUAACCUGCCCUUGACUUUGGGAUAACUUCAGGAAACUGGGGCUAAUACCGGAUAGGAGCUCCUGCUGCAUGAUGGGGGUUGGAAAGUUUCGGCGGUUGGGGAUGGACUCGCGGCUUAUCAGCUUGUUGGUGGGGUAGUGGCUUACCAAGGCUUUGACGGGUAGCCGGCCUGAGAGGGUGACCGGCCACAUUGGGACUGAGAUACGGCCCAGACUCCUACGGGAGGCAGCAGUGGGGAAUAUUGCACAAUGGGCGGAAGCCUGAUGCAGCAACGCCGCGUGCGGGAUGACGGCCUUCGGGUUGUAAACCGCUUUCGCCUGUGACGAAGCGUGAGUGACGGUAAUGGGUAAAGAAGCACCGGCUCCCUACGUC
rnacentral:rRNA from 1 species